GGGUCAGCUUCUCCCUGCCCCAUCCCUGCCUUGGGAAUGGGGGCCUGGGUGGCUGGUGAUCCCUGUGGGACUCCGUGCCCCCCAUCUUGGCAGGGAUCGGCUACGACUUCAAGCGCCCGCUGUCCCACCUGCGCGAGGUCCACCUGCGCCGCUACAACCUGCGCCGCUCCGCCCUCGAGCUCUUCUUCAUCGACCAGGCCAACUACUUCCUCAACUUCAGAAAGAAGGUGGAACGCCCUUAUCCCACCCCCAAGCCCCUCCCAGGGCCACGGCACUGCCCGAGCUCCGGUCACUCCGUGUCCUCUCCCCGUCCCUCCAGGUGAGGAACAAGGUGUACUCCUGCAUCCUCGGCCUGCGGCCCCCCAACCAGAUCUCCUUCGGCAGCCGCUCGCCCCAGGAGCUGCUCAAAGCCUCGGGGCUCACACAGAAAUGGGUCCUGCGGGAGAUCUCCAACUUCGAGUACCUCAUGCAGCUGAACACGAUCGCGGGGCGCACCUACAACGACCUGUCAGUACCCGUGGUGAGCCCCGUUCCUCCCGGUGCCCCCACAGCCAGCCCGUGCCCCCCAAGCCCUCACGCCACCUCCUGCUCCCCCCCAGUUCCCUGGAUCCUGCGGGAUUACGUCUCGGAGACCCUGGACCUCUCCAACCCGGCCGUGUUCCGGGACCUGUCCAAGCCCAUCGGGGUGGCCAACGAGCGGCACGCCCGGGACGUGAAGGAGAAGUACGAGAGCUUCGAGGACCCCACGGGCACCGUGGACAAGUUCCACUACGGCACCCACUACUCCAACGCGGCCGGAGUGAUGCACUACCUGAUCCGCACCGAGCCCUUCACCACCCUCCACAUCCAGCUGCAGAGCGGCAGGUUUGA
rnacentral:lncRNA from 1 species